rnacentral:rRNA from 1 species
AUUGAACGCUGGCGGCAUGCUUUACACAUGCAAGUCGAACGGUAACAGGGUGCUUGCACCGCUGACGAGUGGCGAACGGGUGAGUAAUGCGUCGGAACGUGCCGAGUAGUGGGGGAUAACGCAGCGAAAGUUGUGCUAAUACCGCAUACGUACUGAGGUAGAAAGUGGGGGACCUUCGGGCCUCACGCUAUUCGAGCGGCCGACGUCUGAUUAGCUAGUAGGUGAGGUAAAGGCUCACCUAGGCGACGAUCAGUAGCGGGUCUGAGAGGAUGAUCCGCCACACGGGGACUGGGACACGGCCCAGACUCCUACGGGAGGCAGCAGUGGGGAAUUUUGGACAAUGGGCGAAAGCCUGAUCCAGCCAUGCCGCGUGUCUGAAGAAGGCCUUCGGGUUGUAAAGGACUUUUGUCAGGGAGGAAAUCCCUAGUGCUAAUAACACUGGGGGAUGACAGUACCUGAAGAAUAAGCACCGGCUAACUACGUGCCAGCAGCCGCCGUCGUAA